rnacentral:rRNA from 1 species
AUUGAACGCUGGCGGCAGGCCUAACACAUGCAAGUCGAGCGAGCGGCGGACGGGUGAGUAAUGUCUGGGAAACUGCCUGAUAGAGGGGGAUCACUACUGGAAACGGUAGCUAAUACCGCAUCCCAUCCGCUGAACCCAUAUGGGAUUAGCUAGUAGGUGAGGUAAUGGCUCACCUAGGCGACGAUCCCUAACUGGUCUGAGAGGAUGACCAGACACACGGGAACUGAGACACGGCCCAGACUCCUACGGGAGGCAGCAGUGGGGAAUAUUGCACAAUGGGCGCAAGCCUGAUGCAGCCAUGCCGCGUGUGUGAAGAAGGCCUUAGGGUUGUAAAGCACUUUCAGUGGGGAGGCGUUACCGACAGAAGAAGCACCGGCUAACUCCGUGCCAGCAGCCGCGGUAAUAC